AGCAGCCGCGGUAAUUCCAGCUCCAAUAGCGUAUAUUAAAGUUGUUGCAGUUAAAAAGCUCGUAGUUGAACUUCGAAAUUUGUUCAUUGGUCAGGCUUAACUGUCUGUACUGGUGUUACGAAUUUCUACCUUCUGAGGAAUCCUCAUGCCAUUAAUUUGGUGCGGGGGGAAUCAGGACUGUUACUUUGAAAAAAUUAGAGUGUUUAAAGCAGGCUAACGUCUGAAUACAUUAGCAUGGAAUAAUAAAAUAGGACGGUUUGGUUCUAUUUUGUUGGUUUCUAGGAUCACCGUAAUGAUUAAUAGGGAUAGUUGGGGGCAUUAGUAUUCAAUUGUCAGAGGUGAAAUUCUUGGAUUUAUUGAAGACUAACUAUUGCGAAAGCAUUUGCCAAGGAUGUUUUCAUUAAUCAAGAACGAAAGUUAGGGGAUCGAAGACGAUCAGAUACCGUCGUAGUCUUAACCAUAAACUAUGCCGACUAGGGAUCGGACGAAGUUAAUUUUUAAAUGUACUCGUUCGGCACCU
rnacentral:rRNA from 1 species